CAGUCGUACCGACGGAAAAUCAGCUCUUCGAGUGUGAACUUGUGGGUGUACGUGAGCUUUAACCGGCCUCGUUGUUUGCAAUGUUUGUGCUUUUUGGGUGUACUUUUUCGUAUGGUAGGCCAACGUCAGUCUCGGUCACCAUAAAAUGACUAGAGGAAUGUAGCUUCGAUCUCGCAUUGAAGUGUUAUAGCCUUUGGUAGAUGUGAUGUUUGAGACCGAGGAUUGCAACGGGAUACCCUUCGGGGCUAUUCGUCUGAUCUCUGAUACGUUGCCUUGAUGUUGAAAGCUUGCUUAUGAUGUUAGGGUAUUACGGGUCAAAAGGUUAGAACGAAUUACAUUCGUUAAGGAUGUUGACGUAAUGUACUUUAAACGACCCGU
rnacentral:rRNA from 1 species